AAACUUUCAACAACGGAUCUCUUGGUUCUGGCAUCGAUGAAGAACGCAGCGAAAUGCGAUAAGUAAUGUGAAUUGCAGAAUUCCGUGAAUCAUCGAAUCUUUGAACGCACAUUGCGCCCGCCGGUAUUCCGGCGGGCAUGCCUGUUCGAGCGUCAUUUCAACCAUCAAGCCCUGGGCUUGUGUUGGGGACCCGCGGCUGCUCGCGGGCCCUGAAAAGCAGUGGCGGGCUCGCUAGUCACACCGAGCGUAGUAGAACUUCUAUUCGAUCUCGCUCAGGGCGUGCGGCGGGUGCCAGCCGUAAAACCCCAGCUUCUUCUAA
rnacentral:misc_RNA from 1 species